rnacentral:rRNA from 1 species
GAUGAUCGCUGGCGGCGUGCUUAACACAUGCAAGUCGAACGGUGAAGCAGGAGCUUGCUCUUGUGGAUCAGUGGCGAACGGGUGAGUAACACGCGAGCAACCUGCCCCUGACUCUGGGAUAAGCGCUGGAACCGGCGUCUAAUACUGGAUAUGUGAUGUGACCGCAUGGUCUGCAUCUGGAAAGAAUUUCGGUUGGGGAUGGGCUCGCGGCCUAUCAGCUUGUUGGUGAGGUAAUGGCUCACCAAGGCGUCGACGGGUAGCCGGCCUGAGAGGGUGACCGGCCACACUGGGACUGAGACACGGCCCAGACUCCUACGGGAGGCAGCAGUGGGGAAUACUGCACAAUGGGCGGAAGCCUGAUGCAGCAACGCCGCGUGAGGGAUGACGGCCUUCGGGUCGUAAACCUCUUUUAGCAGGGAAGAAGCGAAAGUGACGGUACCUGCAGAAAAAGCACCGGCUAACUACGUGCCAGCCGCCGCGGUAA